GAUGAAGAACGCAGCAAAAUGCGAUAAGUAAUGUGAAUUGCAGAAUUCAGUUAAUCAUCGAAUCUUUGAACGCACAUUGCGCCCGCCAGCAUUCUGGCGGGCAUGCCUGUUCGAGCGUCAUUUCAACCCUCGAGCCCCCCCGGGGGCCUCGGUGUUGGGGGACGGCACACCAGCCGCCCCCGAAAUGCAGUGGCGACCUCGCCGCAGCCUCCCCUGCGUAGUAGCACACACCUCGCACCGGAGCGCGGAGACGGUCACGCCGUAAAACGCCCAACUUCUUAGAGUUGACCUCGGAUCAGGUAGGAAUACCCGCUGAACUUAAGCAUAUCAAUAAGCGGAGGA
rnacentral:misc_RNA from 1 species